AGGCUGCGCCCGCUGCAAAUGUGUAUAACCAGGAACAAUGAGUCCCUCCUCGUUCAAAGCCAAAGUCACUAGUGCAACUUGUAGAUAUUCGAUAGAUGCAAUGAUUCUAUCAAUUGCAUCACGACACCACAAACGAAAAUCAGUCAAAACUUGAUCAUUUCUGCUCCGAGCUGUAUGAAGCUUUUUCGCUGGCUCACCAAUCAUAUCAGUAAGUGCAGCCUCAAUGUUCAUGUGCACAUCCUCCCUGUCUGUUCUCCACACAAAUUCACCAGCUUCAAUGCGUCUCUGAAUCUCAUCAAGACCUUGUAGAAUGCUAUCCCUAUCACUGAUACUUAUCAAUCCCUGUUGGGACAGCAUAGAAGCAUGGGCCUUGCUACCCAUUAUAUCAUGCUUAUAGAGCUGCUUAUCAAAGGAAAUGGACUCUGUAAAUUUCUCCACGGCAUCGGUGACGCUCUCUUUGAAUCUUCCACCCCACAACUUGGCCUCCUUACUAUGCUUUUCCUUGGUUUCAAUCUCAGGUUGAGAGGACCCACCCAUAGCUCUAAUGAUGCACAAACCUUCCAACCUUUCCUUGGAUUUAGUCUGAAGCGUGAAAGAAACAAAAGGCGGGCAAGUGGGUGUUGCUUGGGUAGAGAAGAAGGUUGCAGUUGAAGAGCAGUGGAGUGGGUUCAGUGAAGUGGAGAGUAGAAGUGAGUGCGAUCUCAUUUUGGAGACGGCUACCGAGAGAGAGAAUAGGGAGUGUUUGGUAGGGUUCUUAUUUUUCUACUGGAAUUACUCUAUUUGUGUUUAGGCUUUUUCCGCGGGCGGAGGAGAGGAGAAUGUGC
rnacentral:misc_RNA from 1 species